AUCAUGGGCCCGUUACGAAUGAUUGGUCCAGGCGUUGGUGAGAUGAGCCCAUUAGUUACUUAGGGUUUCACACAUCUCCUCAGCCGUCACUCCCCUCUCUUUCUCUCUCCUCAGAAAUCAUCCUCUAACUUUCUCUUUCACUCACUCACUACCUUUCUCUCUCCUCUUUAGAACUCAAUGUCUUUCUCUCUCCUCAAGAUUCAUUCUCAUUUACUCUCUUUACCACCUCUUCUUACCUCCAUAUUCUCUUUCCUCUUGAUUAUGCAUUUUUUUUUAAAUUUAUGUUUUGUUUUUGCUACUAGAUCUGUAGCAAUUAGAUUCAAAUUGGUAGAAUUUUUGGGUUUUAUAAUUAGAUUAUAAUCUGAUUUUUAUUUGAAUGAUUUUUGCUAGUUUAUUGUUGAAAACCAAGAGGAGGAAGUGAAAUAAGAGGCGAAAAAGAGGAAGAAGUCACUAACGGCAACGGAGAAAUCAAAGCAAUGGGGGAUUCGGAAUCAGCUUUUAUUGUAGCUCACAAGAAGGCUACCCUUACAAAGCUCAGCAAUGGCGUCGAACGUAUCUCCGUUUCUAUCGACCUCUAUAAUCGUGGAUCUUUGAGCUUUGCUGCUGUUGGUGUGGAUCCUUCUGUUAUGGGGUUUGGCCCAGCUUUUGCCAUUCCUGCUGCAGUGAAAUAUGUCGAGCUAAAGCUUAACGAUAUCAAUCUAUUUUUUAAUAUGUAUGUCCAAGCCUAAUCAGAGGAUUAUUUGUGGGCUGAUCAAGUAAUAUGAGUAGAUACAAAUCAUGAAGAUUUUCAUGAUUUAAUGUAAAAAGGUGCAAAGCAUUGUUGUUAGUGGAUCAAAAGCUGUGGAGCAUCUGUCAUACAUGUUUAACUCGGGCCAAGAUUUAAAGCUUAACGAUAUCAAUCUAUUUGAGAUAAAUGAGGCCUUUGCAUCUCAGUAUGUUUACCGUUGUAAAAAGAUGAACCUCGAUCCAGCGAAAGUUAAUGUUAAUGGGGGAGUAAUAGCCCUUGGACAUCCCUUGGGAGCUACAGGAAAACUAAGGUAAACACCAAGGAAAGAUCACAACCAUGGCAGAAUCCAUUGUUGUAUCAGCUGUCCAGUGGAUUGGCUCUAUAUUGAUUCAAGAGGCCAAUAUAUUAUUCGAUGUUGCAGAUCAAGUACGGGGCCUUCAGCAAGAGAUUGAGCUGAUGCAGCAAUAGCUUUGGCCUAAGAAGAAUCAAUGAAGCAGAAGGUUUGGACUAAGAAGAUAAUUGAAAAGUUAAAUAGCUUUGGACUAAAAAGAAUCAAUGUAGCAGAAGGUUUUUAGUUUUAACUAUUUAGGCAAUAAUAAAUGUUUUUUUUUGCUCAUUGUAUAAAUAUGAAGUAUAUUUUUAUCUCAAUUAAUUAAUAAAAUAAUUGUGCUAUAA